rnacentral:rRNA from 1 species
UGCAGUCGAACGGCAGCACGGGUGCUUGCACCUGGUGGCGAGUGGCGAUCGGGUGAGUAAUAUAUCGGAACGUACCUUAUUGUGGGGGAUAACGCAGCGAAAGCUGUGCUAAUACCGCAUAAUCCCUUAGGGGGAAAGCGGGGGACCGUAAGGCCUCGCGCAAUUAGAGCGGCCGAUACCUGAUUAGCUAGUUGGUGAGGUAAAGGCUCACCAAGGCAACGAUCAGUAGCUGGUCUGAGAGGACGAUCAGCCACACUGGGACUGAGACACGGCCCAGACUCCUACGGGAGGCAGCAGUGGGGAAUUUUGGACAAUGGGGGCAACCCUGAUCCAGCAAUGCCGCGUGAGUGAAGAAGGCCUUCGGGUUGUAAAGCUCUUUUGUCAGGGAAGAAACAGCAGCUCUAACACAGUCUGCGAAUGACGGUACCUGAAGAAUAAGCACCGGCUAACUACGUGCCAGCAGCCGCGGUAAUACGUAGGGUGCAAGCGUUAAUCGGAAUUACUGGGCGUAAAGCGUGCGCAGGCGGUUAUGUAAGACAGGCGUGAAAUCCCCGGGCUUAACCUGGGAAUUGCGCUUGUGACUGCAUAGCUAGAGUAUGUCAGAGGGGGGUAGAAUUCCACGUGUAGCAGUGAAAUGCGUAGAGAUGUGGAGGAAUACCAAUGGCGAAGGCAGCCCCCUGGGAUAAUACUGACGCUCAUGCACGAAAGCGUGGGGAGCAAACAGGAUUAGAUACCCUGGUAGUCCACGCCCUAAACGAUGCUGACUAGUUGUUCGGGAAUUUAUUCCUGAGUAACGUAGCUAACGCGUGAAGUCAGCCGCCUGGGGAGUACGGUCGCAAGAUUAAAACUCAAAGGAAUUGACGGGGGACC